GGACGAUUAGCUCAGUGGGAGAGCACCUGCUUGACGUGCAGGGGGUCAGGGGUUCAAAUCCCUUAUCGUCCACCA
rnacentral:tRNA from 1 species